rnacentral:lncRNA from 1 species
AUUUUGUAGAUUUGAGGUUGAGCCGACUUGAGACCAUUUCGAGCUGAUUCGAGAUCAUUUCGAGCCGACUCCUGUGCUUUUGAUAGAGAUAACGGUUAGUUUUGCAGGAUAUCUAGUUUUGUCCAGAACUUUUUCAAUGGCUCUAUUUUGCCUCCAACGAUCAUAAACGGUCGAAAUAGGUUCAAAAUGCAUCAAAAUUAGAGGGAAUGUAUGGUAGAUAUAAGAGAAGCCAAAGAACCAAUUAAGAAAAGAUAUACUUUUAAAGUGAAAUAGCUCAAAAAGUUCAACAUUCAUUGCAUUCAAGAGACUCAACCACUUCCAACCAAUUUUUUCUUACGUAUUGUGAGGACAUUCAAGGAGAAGUCAGUGAGCAAUUAUUGCAAGCAUUCAAGCUU